rnacentral:tRNA from 1 species
GGGCCGGGUGAGCGAGGAAGGUGGGCGCGGCCCCGUAUUCCGGGGCCGGGGGAGAGCUGUAUCAGCCGCUUUACAGUUCAUCCGGUACCGGCCCGC